rnacentral:rRNA from 1 species
ACAGCAGUCGCCGCGGGAAUACAGAGGGUGCGAGCGUUAAUCGGAUUUACUGGGCGUAAAGCGUGCGUAGGCGGCUUUUUAAGUCGGAUGUGAAAUCCCUGAGCUUAACUUAGGAAUUGCAUUUGAUACUGGGAAGCUAGAGUAUGGGAGAGGAUGGUAGAAUUCCAGGUGUAGCGGUGAAAUGCGUAGAGAUCUGGAGGAAUACCGAUGGCGAAGGCAGCCAUCUGGCCUAAUACUGACGCUGAGGUACGAAAGCAUGGGGAGCAAACAGGAUUAGAGACCCGAGUAGUCCCUGUCUCUUAUAC